CUCACUCUUGACGUUUUUAAGUCAAGAUUUUUGAAACACAGGAGAGAUGUGUUUUUUCUUGUUGUGAUUUGGAUGAUAUUAGCAUAAUUAUCCAAGGUACACUGCACAGAACAUGCAUGCGAGAAUUUUGAAGGAAAAAAAGGAAAUAAUCUAAAUUCACAUCCUGACAAAAAAAAAAAAACAACUAUCUACCUCGAGAAACCUUCAAAGAUGAAAUGCAUGUCAGUUUUAUCAUCAGCUGUCAGAGAAGACGGAAAUGUUUUUCGGGAGAGGGCGAAUUGAAGUAAUGUGAAUCUUCUACAUAUAUGUAGAGAGAGAAAAGCAUCUAUAUUUUGUAUGUAUGUACACAUUCAUAUAAGAACUACUAGCAAAAAAGGCUUCUACGUAGAGAUGAUAAAGAAUAGAAAGGAAAAAUUGCUCAAGGCAAUGUAAUGGCACCAGGUGCUGUUGAUUCCAUGCGAAGGAAUCCCGGAAGAUCACUUACGUACAUUAUGUAUACAAAAGGACUCCUCUCUGUAAAAACGUCCUUCUGCACUUACAAACCACUUUGAAAAUACAAAUGCAAGCAGAAGAAAAAACAGAAGAAACAAUAAUUCGGAAAUGCGCCUACGGCUAUGUUUUUCCUUGCAGUAGGAAUUUGAGAGCUGGCAAACUUCCAGAAACAGUGACACAAUAUUUGAUGGAGAUCUGAGAUGACUCCCGGGCACAAUCAACAAUGUUAUAAUGACAUAGAUACGUAAAACACGCAAUCAUGAAGAAGAAAAAAAAUCAAUGAAAGAAACAUUUAAAUUUGUAAUUUAUUAUUCAUGACAACACGAAACGAUGAUGAUGAUGAUGACUUGAUCAUCAAUCGCGUGACAAGAUCACAAUGUCAGGGAUAUGUCAGUUCUAUAUUAUACACAUUUGAUACAAUAAGAAGAUGUUCGUCUAGUAGAGAUGAAUUGAAUAUUGAUUGAUAGACAUGUCCUUGAGGAAUGGUACACAUUUCUUCGGGUAUUUCUUAUGCUUUGUUUCUAAUUUCACGCUUCUUCAGGUUUCUGAUUGAUUUUUUACGUUUUUUUUUAAAUGAGGAAGAACAUUUUGUGAUUUAUGGAAAUUGACAAAUGUAUGCAUUCAAAAAGAAAUAAAAUCUUGUCUUGUGUAAAAAAAGGACGCAUUUUUAGAAUAGUAGGUUCAUAUAAAGCAUUGCUUCAGGUCUAGGAUAUUUGCUGGGAAGUGAUCUCCGGCAAACUUGCGAACUAAAAGCAGAGGAAGACUUUUCAGUGGAGACAUCUUUUCAUGUAGGUAUACAUCCAUAAUCACUACCACCACACCAAAGACAAAGGCUAAAAUUGGGCUGCAAAGGAUUUACCGAAGACCUGGAGAGAGCUUAACACCAACAGUACCUACAUUAACUCAAAUGUGUAAACAGUACAGUACUUCAAUGUCAGAACCAAAAGAGGAGCUCCAUGCCAUUAAACCAGAAUGAGACUCAUUCAGGACAAAAAAGCCCCAAAAAUGUCCCGAACAAAAUCUGUCUACCUCCCGAACAUGAUUCGAACAUGUCCCGGACAAGUCCGUGUCGCGUUAUAUGUAGCGUCGUCUCGCGUCGUCGUGUCGCAUUAUGGGGUAGAGUUGCCUAUUUUCGGCCGUCUCCAGUUUCCGGCCACCUUUCGGAAAAUCGUUAUA